AAAAAGAAUGGAGAAAAGCUAGUUUGUCCUGGAAAAAUAUGAAUUACUUUGGGAGGGAGUAAGUAAAUGUAUUUUGGCAGUGACUCCUGGCCGACUUGUAGGAUAUUGUUUAAUGGAUUUUUCUGAGGGUUUUCCUAACAGGGCAUCUUCAUCAUGAUACUCAAUGCCAAGUGCCUUAUCUUGAAACUUAUUAUCUGCUCUUUCGGUGGACAGAGAAAUAGGAGUUGAGAAGCCCAUCUCUAGUUUGAAAAUGUGCUGAAAUCUGUUUCUAAGGGUGAAUCAAUGUUGGUGCAAGAGGACUUACUGAAAUCACAACAGCAUUGCCUUUUUCUAUGAGAAGUCUUUCAGAUUAAGACUCUUGAGAGAUUACAGAGCAAAAAGGAAGAAGCAUGUCACAUUUUUAUGCAGGGGAACUUGUGUUUCUUCAUCUAGGAAAGGAAAUUCUUCUUUUCAUGUAUCCUCUGGUUCUAUCUCUAAGCUUUUCCUACAUUAAUCUCUUGUUUUGCAACCUGUGUCAGAUUGGGUAGUGUGACAACUCCACUUCAGGUGUGGUUCUUGUCUGGGGGCUAGCGAUGGAACCAGUAUCAGGAUGACUGGCAUCCUGCCCGGUUCAAACAGGAAUAGCCCUUGUCUACACCAAGAUGAAGAUCGAAGUUCCAAUGUCACUACUCAGAUUUACAUAUGUAUUUUUACAAUGGCUGAAUGGAGUACUUUAGAAUGAGAAGAAUUGAAGUUGAUUUAAAGACAUAAAACAAAGCUAUCAAUAAUUUAAAGAUAGGUUUUAAAACAGUAAAUGCAAGCUUCUAAGUGGUUAAUUAUAUCUACAGUCACUAACCACUCUUCUUGGAGGAGAUAAAAACGUUUUAGCUAUGGAUGGCUAGAUAAAAAGCAGCAAUCUCUGUUUUCUACUCUGCUAUAACUUUUGCCCAAAGUUGAACAUCUUCUAAUAGGAAUAAUCACAGAGUUCUAGUUGCAGAAGUUUUUAGACUUUACUGCAUUUGCUGAAGCCCAAUUUCACAUAUACAAUACCUUCUGUCAAACUCUGGUAUUUUUUUAUGAAACAGUUUUAUUGACAUAUUUUAGACUGCAUAUAUUUAAAAUGUACAAUUUGAUAUAUUUUAACAGAUGUGCAAACCUGUCAAUCCAUCACCACAAACAAAAUACAAUAAUAAACAUUUCCAUUAUCUCCAAAU